CCUCCUUUCUAAGGAUGAUUAAGGAUUAUUUCUUAAUCUAAAUAAUAUAACAGGUUAAUGUUGACCGUCCUCGUUUCUCUUCUUGAAGUAGUGUUUCUCUUUUCUGCAUAGGGGCCGGUAGCUCAGUUGGUUAGAGCACACCCUUGAUAAGGGUGGGGUCGAAAGUUCGAGUCUUUCUCGGCCCACCAAUAUAAUGGGGGAUUAGCUCAGCUGGGAGAGCGCCUGAUUUGCAUUCAGGAGGUCAGCGGUUCGAUCCCGCUAUCCUCCACCAAGAAACACUUAGUUAUUUAAUUUGUAAAUAAAUUUUAAUAUUAUCAAUAUCUAUAUCCGAACAUUAAUUAAUUAAUGUUCAAAUAAAAAAUUUGAUUCAACACAGAAUUUUUUUCUGUGCAUAAAUCAAGCGUUUAAGGGCGUGUGGCGGAUGCCUUGGCACUGAAAGCCGAUGAAGGACGUGGUAUACUGCGAUAAGUUACGGGGAGCUGUAUGCAAGUUUUGAUCCGUAAAUUUCCGAAUGGG
rnacentral:misc_RNA from 1 species